CAGUCGACGCUUCUUUUUCCACCGGAGCUUGCUCCACCGGAAAAAGAGGAGUGGCGAACGGGUGAGUAACACGUGGGUGACCUGCCCAUUAGAAGGGGAUAACACUUGGAAACAGGUGCUAAUACCGUAUAACAAUCAAAACCGCAUGGUUUUGAUUUGAAAGGCGCUUUCGGGUGUCGCUGAUGGAUGGACCCGCGGUGCAUUAGCUAGUUGGUGAGGUAACGGCUCACCAAGGCCACGAUGCAUAGCCGACCUGAGAGGGUGAUCGGCCACAUUGGGACUGAGACACGGCCCAAACUCCUACGGGAGGCAGCAGUAGGGAAUCUUCGGCAAUGGACGAAAGUCUGACCGAGCAACGCCGCGUGAGUGAAGAAGGUUUUCGGAUCGUAAAACUCUGUUGUUAGAGAAGAACAAGGAUGAGAGUAACUGUUCAUCCCUUGACGGUAUCUAACCAGAAAGCCACGGCUAACUACGUGCCAGCAGCCGCGGUAAUACGUAGGUGGCAAGCGUUGUCCGGAUUUAUUGGGCGUAAAGCGAGCGCAGGCGGUUUCUUAAGUCUGAUGUGAAAGCCCCCGGCUCAACCGGGGAGGGUCAUUGGAAACUGGGAGACUUGAGUGCAGAAGAGGAGAGUGGAAUUCCAUGUGUAGCGGUGAAAUGCGUAGAUAUAUGGAGGAACACCAGUGGCGAAGGCGGCUCUCUGGUCUGUAACUGACGCUGAGGCUCGAAAGCGUGGGGAGCAAACAGGAUUAGAUACCCUGGUAGUCCACGCCGUAAACGAUGAGUGCUAAGUGUUGGAGGGU
rnacentral:rRNA from 1 species